rnacentral:rRNA from 1 species
GACGAACGCUGGCGGCGUGCUUAACACAUGCAAGUCGAACGGAAAGGCCCCUUUGGGGGUACUCGAGUGGCGAACGGGUGAGUAACACGUGAGUGACCUGCCCUUGACUUCGGGAUAACUUCAGGAAACUGGGGCUAAUACCGGAUAGGAAUCCUUGCUGCAUGGUGGGGGUUGGAAAGCUUCGGCGGUUUUGGAUGGACUCGCGGCUUAUCAGCUUGUUGGUGGGGUAGUGGCUUACCAAGGCUUUGACGGGUAGCCGGCCUGAGAGGGCGACCGGCCACAUUGGGACUGAGAUACGGCCCAGACUCCUACGGGAGGCAGCGGUGGGGAAUAUUGCACAAUGGGCGGAAGCCUGAUGCAGCAACGCCGCGUGCGGGAUGACGGCCUUCGGGUUGUAAACCGCUUUCAGCAGGGGCGAAGCUUGUGGUGACGGUACCUGCAGAAGAAGCACCGGCUAACUACGUG